rnacentral:rRNA from 1 species
UACGAAGGGGGCUAGCGUUGCUCGGAAUCACUGGGCGUAAAGCGCACGUAGGCGGAUUGUUAAGUCAGGGGUGAAAUCCUGGAGCUCAACUCCAGAACUGCCUUUGAUACUGGCGAUCUUGAGUCCGGGAGAGGUGAGUGGAACUGCGAGUGUAGAGGUGAAAUUCGUAGAUAUCAGGAGGAACACCGGUGGCGAAAGCGGCUUCCUGGCCCGACACUGACGCUCAUGUACGAAAGCGUGGGGAGCAAACAGG